rnacentral:lncRNA from 1 species
AGAGCUGGUUGUUUAAAAGAAUCUGGGAUCCCUCCCUUCUCUCUCUUGCUCCUUCUCUCACCAUGUGAUAUGCUUGCUCCCUUUGGCCUUCUGCAGUGAUUGUAAGCUUCCUGAGGCUUUCACCAGAAACACACGCUGGCACCACGCUUCUUGUAUCGCCUGCAGAGCUGUGAGCCAAAAUAAACCUCUUCUUUAUAAAUUACCCAGCCUCAGGUAUUCCUUUACAGCAACAUAAAAUGGACUAAUAUGUCUGCUAAUUUUUAAAUGUUGGCAUAAUUUAUACGAACCAAACAAAGCAUUCUUUGGGCUGAUUUGGCACACAGGCUGAUAGUUUGCAAACUGUUCUGUACUACGGCUGCUGUCUGUAUUAUCAAGUCCAGAGGGUAAACUUCAGUGACAGGCUAUGGCCAGAAAGGGGCGACAGAGGGUCACAGAACCAAACCAGGCCUAUUAGAUUCAUACUCCCAGCUGCCACUGGGAAAACCUGUCCUGGGUAUGGGGCGCUCCCAAUUAAAUCAAGCCAAAUCAAUAAGUUGGAGGUUGCUGGAUACGAGGCAACAAGUAGAGAGAAAUUAGGGUGAGGGGGAGAUGCCAAGGAAACCAGGUUGUUUCAGAGGACACUGGUGAGCUAAGGGGCCCAAAGAAAACUGUUUUUUCAAAGACGAUCAGAUAUCAAAUAAUAUUCACAAAGGGAGAAAUGAUGAAGUUUCAGGAACAGCACUGAGAAUGAAUGAGCUCUUACAAUGUUUAUGCAAAAGUCAAAAUCUUCAAGCCACCUAUCUUGGCUUCUUAAAAUCACCAGAAUGGGCCCCAGAAAAAAAGGGCCUAAUAGAACAUGUGCCUCUGUGAAUAAUUUAACUAGUGUCACAGCAAGUACAUAUUUUGCUAGCUGAUAAAUUAAUAAAGGAACAAACAAGUUUUGUAGUUUAAGAGUUGGUAUAAAUUAUUGUGCAGAAAUGGCAACUGAAAUGUACAAGAGUCUUCUAUAGUAAUCCAUACUUACUUUACUGUUAUCCCUUAGAUGUUUAAACAUGAAGAUAAAAAUCAAAGCUCUCAGUUUUAUGUUAAUGUUUUUCAAUACUCUCACCUUUAGCUGCAGAAAUAUGGCAUACAUGAAAGAAAAAUGGGGCAAAACCUACUAUGCCACCUUCAGAACCAACCCAUUACAUGUGAAGAACAUUCUUUCAAUAACUUGAGAACCUUCUUGAACCCCAAGUUUCGCUGCCUUGACACUUUGAGAAGGCUGGAGAUGAUUGCUAGCCCAGAGAACAAUGCUCAAAAGUAGGUUCAGCAUGAGGUCAUCAGGAGGAUGUGUUGGGCUGGGUAACUGUAUUUAACUUAGAAGAUGAGCAAGGGCAAGAACACCACCAUGACCACCUCCAAGGUAGAGAAAAAUAACUUUGUUUCCUGAAAUAAUCUGUUAUUUAAAGAGCGAAUGAGAACUGGGUGUCUGGAUUGGGAGGCAAGGCCUGGCCAAUAAAAGCAGUAAACAGAAAUUGUUACUCUGUCUAGAAAAUAGCACCUAGAUUUUAAACCAAACUACUUUGCAAAGCCUGAACUAUACAGGGAGGAAGGAAACAAAAUCAGAUUCCCUAUGGCCCUCCUUCAGCCAGCUUUAGUUCUCUUUCACAGUUCCAGCAUAAUAUGGUUUUAAGAGUGAAUAGUAUUCAACACAUGCUUUGCAUAAGGACUCAUGCUUUCUUUACCAUAAUCCUGGCAGACUUUAGGGUCUACAUGUUUCAAAAUGGAAAAUGUAGCUCAGUGAAGUUGUCAUUUGCUCAUGGUCACUGAAUUGGUAAGCAGAAAUGGCAGAGCUGAAACCCAGUAAUUCUUUAGAUUCUUAGUGUAAUGAUAUUUUAACUGCACUUACAUUUUUUAUGCUGUGUAUGUAUAUAUUCUUUCAUGUUCUCCCAACUGUUUGUUAUGUUCUUUAUCCUGAUCAGUCUGAUUUCUCUGAUCCUGCUGUCAUGGGGUAAUUGCUCCUCUCUCAGUCGAAGACACCUAAUGAUGCAUCAUUUGCUGAUCAUGAUAUUGCAGGCCAAGGUUACGAUCAACUACUAAGGGGACUUGCUGGCUUGCUUCCCAUAAAGUACAGGGCAGUGUGAACCCUGAGGAUCUGAGACAGGUCUCAGUUAAUUUAGAAACUUUAUUUUGCCAAGGUUGAGGAUGUGUGCCCGUGACUCAGCAUCAGGAGAUCCUGAUGACUGACAUAUGCCCACGGUGGUCAGAGCACAGUUUGGUUUUAUACAUUUUAGGGAGACAUGAGACAUUAAUCAUCAUAUGUAAGAUGAACAUUAGUUCAGUCCAGAAAGGCAGGACAACUCCAAGCCAAGGUGGAACAACUAAAAGUGGGGAGGGGGCUUCCAGGUCAUACAUAGGUAAGAGACAAAUAGUUGCAUUCUUUUGAGUUUCUGAUUAGCCUCUCCAAAGAGGCAAUUAGCUAUGCAUUUAUCUCAGUUAGCAGAGGUGUGACUCUGAAUAGAUCAGGAGGCAGGUUUACCCUAAGCAGUUCCCAGCUUGACUUUCCCUUUAGCUUAGUGAUUUUGGGGCCCCAAGAUUUAUUUUCCUUUCACAAAAAAUAGGAAUAACAACACAAACAAAUCCUCAAAAUGAAGAAAGUAAAUUGUGAUACUGUCACAACAAUAGAACUGGAGAAAAGCUGGGGGAGUCUAGCACUGAAGACCAGAAGAGAUAAAAGCUGGAGUGUUCAAAUUUGAAAGAAAUCAGUGAAUUUCAGAGAAAGGGAAACCGACAUGCACAUGAUAAAAAUUAAUUUCCAUUUCUUGUUUUAUAUGUCCCUAAAGUAGCAUCAGGGAGGAGAAGCAAUUUGGCAAAUGUAUCUUUUGUGUUUAAACAUCAAUUUGAUUUGUUAUAGAUACUUGUCUUUCAAAUAUUACAUUUUCCAUAACUAGAAAAGACUAGAAAAAUAAACUUUCUAAACUGUUUAUAAGCUAAAUUUUAUUUUGACUUUUAAAACAGAAAAUUUCAGUAAGAGUAAAGAUCCAUAAUAAAAGGAAAAAAUAGACACUGUUCUUAAUCUUUCAUUAACUAAGACCAGGAUCUUUCAUAAACAUAAUUAACUAGAAUUGGCAUAUGAUAGAUCCAAAUGUAAAUGAUCUUCAGUAAAAAGGAGCAAGUAACCAAGAGAAAUGUGACUUAGAACAUACACCUACACAUAUAAACACACACAUAUAGUAUUAAUAUAGCAGGCUAAAAAUAGGAGAAGACACUUGCUUUUUGGAAGCUUGGGAAGUGAAAAGUUCCUUUCACCUUUCACCUGCAGCCUCAUCUCCCACAUGAUAGCCACUAUGGAUCACGAUCCAUUGUCUGGUGCCCAAAAGCUAAAAGCCAACUAAUUACUGCUGAUGGUUGAAGAAUUCUAUUUGGGCAAAGGAAAGUAGUUGGAUUGAGAUCAUUAUCCAGUAGCUCACAACUCUUUAAACUGCUGGUCAACCUGCAUGUCUUUGAAACUAAACAUCUAAAGCCUUUUAUAAUUGCAGAGAAAGUUUUGGUAUAAAAUUCAGCUCCUGCUAUGUAGGCAGAUUAGUUCACUUCUGCAUACAUGCUAAGUGCCCAUCCUUCCAAUCUUCUUCCUCCAGCCCAUCUCUUUCUAAUACCCAUUGACACUGUAAAUUCCAUUCCUGCUGGAGACAGCUGUGGCUAUAAAACUUGACUCAUGAAAAUAUUAGUGAACAUUUCUAUUUUAUCUCUGUGCUUUUCUUCCAGUUUCUUUAUGCAAACCAAGAACUGGCUGCUUCCUGCCUUUAAAAAGGGAAACCAAAGAAUCUCCCCAUUUACCUCUCUUAUGGCCCUUGUGAAAUAUCUGUCACUUGGGAAAGUAAACACAUUUACAAAAUUUAUCAUAGGAAAUCGAACCAUUUGCUGAAUCCCAAAAUAUAAGAUAUGCCUAAAUAUUUAAUAGUGAAUUAUCUAGGCUUAGAAGUUAACUGGUUAGGGAAUGGACUUUUUAGGAUCUCUACUCAGCAAUUUGAAUUUUUCCCCAAAGUCACUAAUUUAAUUAUUGAAACAUACUCAUCUUCAUUGUGUAUAACUCUUGUAGUGAAUUGCUCAUGUCUUUUCUAAAAACUGGAAAUAAUGUUGCUUCUUCCUCUGGCAACUUUUUAAAAAUUAUUUUUCUGUUUCCUGCCUCAGGCUUCAUUCCUUAUACCCAUUACAUCUAUUUAUAUCCCCAGUAACUUCCUUUUCAAAGUCCCCUCAUGUUGACAGCUAUUUCCAUACUUUUAAAAAUACAUUCUUCAAGUUACCAAGUCUCCUUAUUGUGAGCCUAAUGGCCUUUUCUUCACUGUAAUUUACUUUGAAUCACGCCAGGUGAAAAAGAAGGCUUCUGAGUUGAUGCCAGAUUCUUCACAUGAUACAAAUGCUGUCUCUUUGUCUGUAUGUUUUCAUUCCGCCAAGCCCAUUUUUUUCUUGGUUUCCAGACUAAUUGUCCUUAAAAGGCAUUUGCAUCUUAUUAUUCUCUUGCUCUGUCGAUAGCUCUCCCUCUAUUAUUGCAUCAAAUCUAAACUCCUUUGCUUGCCUUGCAUGGUACUCCAACAGUUUGUGCACAAAGUUACUUGUUGAUUGCCAAAUUUAAGCAAGAUUAACCUGGCAGCUUGCGUGCUGCAGCCAUUUCUCAUGAAGAAUGAGAAUAUAUAAAAUAUUAAAAGAGAUGAAAAAUGCCUUAUUAUAUUUCAGUUGUGUUCAUUUUUAAACUCAAAUUUCAGGUUAUCAUACAUUAGAAUUUCAGUCCUGAUAAAAUACAUUACUUAAAGGGGGAGAAAAGGCUUAUGGUAGCUGAAAAGUUCAUCGCCUCAUUUUGCUAAGUUAUUUAUUAUAGGUUUCCCCAGUUGCCUUAUUUUUAGAAAAGAUUUGUUGGCUAAGAGUGAUCAGAUGCAAAGCUCAAAACUACGUAUACAUAAGUUAUAUGUUAUCACAUAUAACAUAGGGAAAUGGUUACCAUUAUGAACUCAAUUUAUUUGUUAAUAUUUCAUUAAUUUCACGUUAGUAUUUCUUCCUCAAAGCCUAACCCACAGAGAAUUUCAUUACCACUACCAUUCAGAUAUCAAAUCUCUUUCUAAAACAAAGUAAAGAAAAAUCUUUUAUAAAAAUGGAUCUUUAGUUUUAUAGACAAAAGAAACUGUGAAAAAGAAGAUUAAAUCUUCAUCAGUUUAACUCACAAAGCAAACGCAUAGGGAAAUAGCAUUAUUCAACAUUUAAAUUGUUUUAAAUCAGUCUUGGGAGUUUUUUAGUCUAUCCAAGGUAAAGGAAUUCUAUACCCAGUUAUGCUAAAUUCCUAAAUAGUAGAUUCAAGUAAAUCCUCCAUUGAAAGAAAUAAAUCACUUCUGUGCUGAGGAAGCUCUAUUAAGAUACAAUCUGAAAGAUCUAUCGAGACCUGAAGUGAAAUACAUACAUUUUUAAAAGGAUAAACAUAGGGGGAAAUGUCUCUAAUGCUUUGUAGUGAAUAUAUCCACCCAAAUGUUCCAGAGCUCCCUGAUUUAUUCUCAAGUAACAACCUUGGCUCUUUAAACAUUGUUUAUGAUGGUCAAAUGAGAACAUAUACAGAGUUUCAAUACAAGCUAUCUGCCUAGUAGACUUCCUUUUGAGAGUAAAACACUCUUAAAGCAUCAUUUACUUUCACAAACAGCAUAUGCACACCAUGUGGCACCCAUUCUUGUUAACACCAAAGUAGCAGUUUGAGCUUAACAGCUUGGGAGCUCUGUUUAUAAUAAUAGUAAUACUCGGUGUCAAGUCCUCAGAGUUUCAGAUGUCAAAGGUGAUCAUGAACAUAAAUGCAAAUUCCCCAAAUCUGCUCUCCUGGGAAAACGAUUCUUGCCAAGGCCAAAGAAGUCAGUAGACAUACAAAUACUUGGUCUCCAGCUUCUAAUAAGCCCAGGAAUUGUCUUUCCAAUUUCACUGCAUCACCUUCAUCUGGUUCUAAUGUAUACACAUGUCUAGUGAAUUAGUUCCCCUUGGGGGAAAAUUUUGUUGUCUCAAGAGCUUGAGAUUUUCAAUGAAGUGCCAAUGAUCUGAUACAAAUUGUUGAAUUUUUUAUUAUAACUGUUCCCUUCUUUUUAUACGAGCCUGUUUACUUUUUGAGCACCCUGAAACCUUCUAGCAUUUCAGAAUAAUGUUUAAAACAUUGCAUUAUUAAGAAACUUUAAAAUUACAGCUGUGAAAACAGACCUAUGUCAUUAUAAUCAGUGAGAAAGUCCCUUAACUGGGAUUUCAGAAUAUAAAAGGAGCACCUGCAGAGAAUUGGCAGGGUGAGAACCAAAGAGAAAAGAGAGAAAGAAACAGGAAAAAAAAUUCAUCAAGCAAAGAGAAUGGGGUGUUUCUAUUCUUGACAAUCCAUUUGAAAAAAUGAAAGUGAGUCAGUAUUUGAGAAGAAAACUUAUUUUAUGGGGGAGGGAGGGUAUAGUUACUUACUGCAUUAGCUUACACAAUCAUUUACUAUAUCUAUUAAAUCACUUAUACUUUUCCAUUUUAAAUAGCUAUUAAUCUAUCUGUUUUACCUAUAGACUGUGAGCUCUUCUAGUGUCACAGCGUGUGUGCAUCUGACAAACCAGCACCUAGUAUAUAGUAGAUAUUCAGUAUUUGUAGUUGAAUAAAUGAUAGAGACUAGAAAUAAUAUGGAAAACAUAUUUUUAUCAGACUAAGAUACAGAAGUAGGAAAAUGUUCAGCGAAGGAAAAAUAUUCUUCCAUAUAAGCAUUGCAUUAAUGGAAAAAAGUGUUCAAUAUGCAUUUACAUGCUCUGCUAAAACAACCACAAAGAAUUAGCAAAUUCUGUAACACUCAUUUGGGGAACCCUCAUGUCUCAGGAUAGCCUGUGUGUGUCCCACAGUGUGCAGUUUUUCACUGGUCAUUGAAUUCCCUGGGUUUUAGGAGUAAAGGAGGCAGAUAAUAGUAUUACUGUUUCUGUGAUUUGGUUUUGUAGAAUGUUGUCCUGAUAAGUGAGGAAGAUGAGACAGGCAAAAGUCCUCCUGAAAGCAUAGUUCAGAUAAGUCCAACUUAUCAGGAGAGAGAUUUCAAAAAGGAGUUGUUGGACUGACGGACAGAGCAAGUAGUGUCCAAUUUCAGUUGAGGCCCAAGCAUGACCUCUUAUGUCUCUUUGCCUGUCCUGGUUUGUCAAACUUCCCAGUCCUCUCAGAGUUGAUAAGGCAUCUUCUUCGGUUUCCUCGAGGUGUAUAAACGAUGGCUGCUCCUCUUACAUUCUUCCAUGUCUUCCACCAUGAAAAACAUGACCUCUUUUUAGUUUGUUCCCAUUAUAACAUGGUCAUUUAUUUUCUUUUCCUUUCCUUUUAAUCCAAACUUUUUUGGCUUAAACUUCUCUACUUGCCCAUCAACAUUUUACUUUUCUACCCACUGGGCUCUGGCUUCCAAUGACCUCCUAAUUGCCAGAUCUAUGGACACUUUUAGUACUCAUUGUAAUGAUGUCUCUGUUGCAUUUGAUACUGUUGAUUCCUGCUUCAAUCAUUAUACAAAAACGCUGACAAUAACAGGCUAAUUAUGAGCAUUCAUAUAAGUGCUUAGGAGAACUUUUUAAAAAUAGUAUGGGUUCUACAAAAUGUUCAAUAUUAUUAUUAUUUUAUUCAGUUAUCUUUGGUAUUCCUUUGUGUCCAUCCUUUUGAUUGCAGGUGUCCCUCAUCUAGUGUCCUCAUCACCCACACACUCUUGCUGGAUAAUUUUAUCAGUCUUUUGAUUUCAAGAACUAUUGUGUUAUUACUACCAUAUAUAUAUAUAUCUUUAGCCCAGUGCUCUGCUAAUCUUUAUAUUUAUAUAUCUAACUUCCUGCUGUAAAUCCCCAUCUCGACUGGCAAAUGUCUCCUGGGGGUACAGUCGUUCCUUGUUGGAAACCACUAGUUAACUCAUACUUGGUUAUUUGUAUCUUUCCUCAGGUGACUAUAGACGUCCUGUGAGCCAACACAAUGUCUUCUUCAUUCCUAUGUUCCUCAGACACAGCACAGAGCCACACGAACGGAAGCAUAAAAACAACUUACAAUUCUCAAUUUAGAAGAUCUUACUUUAAUGGGAGCUCAUAUUUAUACUCCUCCCAAGACACACACACAAUAGUCUCUGUACAUACCGUUAAAUUUAGUCCUUUUUUCUUUUUCAAAAAGGAAGCAUCUGGAAUGCUUCAAUAACGAAAAAAGUACAUGAUAUGUUAAAUAUGCAGUGCCAAAGAAACACUCGGGAGAAAGUCCAGCAUGCAAUUGGAAAUUCAAGGCUGCUCAUCAGUGGAGUAGCAAGUCUGAAAACAUUUGUCAACUCUGCUUGAUCUUUCCACAUACCUCAUCGGCUGGCCCCUUGGGCCCAGAUUUCAACUGAUACUUCUGGCAGAAAAUGCUUGUACCAGUCUACGCCUAACAAUAAAGAACCCAGUUCCCAACUUCGACAUUUGGCUGGUGCUCCGGUGACGCCUGUCCCAAAAGAGAAAAGCCAAAGAAGUAAAUCUGAGUUACCUGAACAGAAAUUAAAAUUUCCCACAUAAAUAAAUCUCAUGAUUUCCAAUUUUCUCUCUUGACUUUAAUUUCUGUGGCUCACUGGCAUUGAGUCUUUUUUUUUUUCUUUACUAUCUGCAUCCUGAGUAUUUCCCAUAUGAUUUGUAAAUGGCUCUAGUAACCUCUAAGUAAACAAAGUGUUCAUUCAUUCAGCCAUUCUUUCACUCAUUUAUUCACUCAUCAAAAAUUAUGAAGUGCCUUGUAUGUGCUAAACAUUGUGUUAGGUGCCAGAAGAUAUAUAGAUAAAUAGAAUAUAUCCUU